AAAGUUCCCUUCGGGGAGCGAGUAGAGUGGUGCACGGGUGAGUAACACGUAGGUAAUCUACCUUUGGAUGGGGAAUAACAACCGGAAACGGUUGCUAAUACCGCAUAAUGCAGCGGCACCUAAUGGUGACAGUUGUUAAAGCGGGGGAUCGUAAGACCUCGCGUCUGAAGAGGAGCCUGCGGCGGAUUAGCUAGUUGGUAAGGUAACGGCUUACCAAGGCGAUGAUCCGUAGCCGGCCUGAGAGGGCGGUCGGCCACACUGACACUGACAUACGGGUCAGACUCCUACGGGAGGCAGCAGUCGGGAAUUUUGGGCAAUGGGCGAAAGCCUGACCCAGCAACGCCGCGUGAAGGAUGAAAUCCUUCGGGAUGUAAACUUCGCAAGAACGGGAAGAAUAAACCGGUGUUAACACCACCGGCGAUGACGGUACUGUUUGUAAGCUCCGGCUAACUCCGUGCCAGCAGCCGCGGUAAUACGGGGGGAGCAAGCGUUGUUCGGAUUUACUGGGCGUAAAGGGCGCGUAGGCGGCCACUGCAAGUCGGUUGUGAAAUCUCCGGGCUUAACCCGGAAAGGUCAAUCGAUACUGCAGGGCUAGAGUGCGGAAGGGGCAACUGGAAUUCUCGGUGUAGCGGUGAAAUGCGUAGAUAUCGAGAGGAACACCUGCGGCGAAGGCGGGUUGCUGGGCCGACACUGACGCUGACAGCGCGAAAGCUAGGGGAGCGAACGGGAUUAGAUACCCCGGUAGUCCUAGCCUUAACGAUGAAUGCUUGGUGUCU
rnacentral:rRNA from 1 species